rnacentral:rRNA from 1 species
GACGAACGCUGGCGGCGUGCUUAACACAUGCAAGUCGAACGGAAAGGCCCUGCUUUUGUGGGGUGCUCGAGUGGCGAACGGGUGAGUAACACGUGAGUAACCUGCCCUUGACUUUGGGAUAACUUCAGGAAACUGGGGCUAAUACCGGAUAGGAGCUCCUGCUGCAUGGUGGGGGUUGGAAAGUUUCGGCGGUUGGGGAUGGACUCGCGGCUUAUCAGCUUGUUGGUGGGGUAGUGGCUUACCAAGGCUUUGACGGGUAGCCGGCCUGAGAGGGUGACCGGCCACAUUGGGACUGAGAUACGGCCCAGACUCCUACGGGAGGCAGCAGUGGGGAAUAUUGCACAAUGGGCGGAAGCCUGAUGCAGAAACGCCGCGUGCGGAAUGACGGCCUUCGGGUUGUAAACCGCUUUCGCCUGUGACGAAGCGUGAGUGACGGUAAUGGGUAAAGAAGCACCGGCUAACUACGUG